rnacentral:lncRNA from 1 species
UAAGGACUCACUUGACAGUUGCCAUGGUUCUGAUCCUGGGCUUGCAUUGAUAUCGUCUUGUACCGUUCUAGGUACAACUUAUAUCAAUGUUUUUCAUACAAUAUGAAAUACAUAAAUCACCUUUCUGCGUAUGCAUAAAGGAUUCUAUUUACGCAUUAUUUCUUUGGGAGUCAAAGGGUCACGUUCCCUUUGAGAAGGACAACUUGCUAGUCUCACUAGAAUCGUCCUUCUUAUUGAAGUUUAUCAUCAUAUGAGAAACUUCCUAGC